rnacentral:lncRNA from 1 species
UGUCACUUGUUGCUUCAGCAAUCAUGGCAAUUUCACUGGCUGAUGCAUCCGGCGUUGACAUAAAACCUGAUGCAGCCAACCCACCAAGUCCAAGCCCAAUGAUCACCCCCCUGGUCUCACGCAUUCGGUUAACUUGGUUAAGUGCUGGUUGGAGGAUGUUGAAUAGCACCCAAGCUAUGGCUGGUAUUAGCGGCAGCAAGAGUGCUAAACCGCGGUUGUCACCUUCUGCUAUUUCAGCUAUUUGUUGUGCAGCAAAAGCAGGCUCACAUGAGCUCAAGGUAGUGAAGAUAGCACCUGCAAUAGCAGUUCCGGCUAGGGCUGUGUUAUCAGCUGGUUUUGAGAUGGUUAGACCUUUUGGGAGGUUUUGCAUGGCGAGAAGGUAGAUGGGUUUUGUUGGUGGCUUGAUGGGGUUGGUAUUCUUGUUGGCGUUGAUGCUCAAGCACUUUGCAUUGAGUAUU